rnacentral:rRNA from 1 species
AACGAACGCUGGCGGCAUGCCUAACACAUGCAAGUCGAACGAGACCUUCGGGUCUAGUGGCGCACGGGUGCGUAACGCGUGGGAACCUGCCCUUAGGUUCGGAAUAACUCCCCGAAAGGGGUGCUAAUACCGGAUAAUGUCUUCGGACCAAAGAUUUAUCGCCUUUGGAUGUGCCCGCGUUGGAUUAGCUAGUUGGUAGGGUAAAAGCCUACCAAGGCGACGAUCCAUAGCUGGUCUGAGAGGAUGAUCAGCCACACUGGGACUGAGACACGGCCCAGACUCCUACGGGAGGCAGCAGUGGGGAAUAUUGGACAAUGGGCGAAAGCCUGAUCCAGCAAUGCCGCGUGAGUGAUGAAGGCCUUAGGGUUGUAAAGCUCUUUUACCCGGGAUGAUAAUGACAGUACCGGGAGAAUAAGCUCCGGCUAACUCCGUG